rnacentral:lncRNA from 1 species
AGCGCAGUCAGCUCAACCUCUAGGCCGACAACUUCAUGGCUGAUGGAUGCUGCUGCAUGUGUGUCGUCGUCGAUCUCUGCUUCUUCCCGUUCUGAGAUUGAGUAGUCCGGACUGAUAGAUGUUGCAUGUGAGGGCGAUUCGAGAUGAGGAGUUGGUGUGUGUACACUACAAGAUGGUGUUUGUGUAAUAUCUGGCUAUUUUCUCAGAUUAAUCAAGGCAUCUCUGUUCUUCUGCUUAACUCCUUGGUUUCUCUGAACCUCUGAAUGUCAAAUGCAGAAGUUCUAUGAAUGUUUCUCUGAAAGUCCAAGCAACUAAAGCAUUCAAAUUCAUCAAGACAUUCAUUCCAUCCAUUUCAAGUUUUCAACACUGAUCAACUCAACAAUCCUGUAAAUACAAUUCCAUUUGUAUAUGUAACAAAUACUCUACAAAUCUGGGGUUUCCUACAGUAAAAAAAGUAAAAUGAAACGCUAGGACUAGUGCAACUUCCUUCUGAUGAAGAAGAAAGUUGCAGUUACUACUGUGCUACCGGCCUUGCAGAACGGUCAUGGCAAUGGUGUUCCUGCUGUUCUCGAGAUCGGUUCUCUGGAUCUUCUCUUCCAUCAUUCCGACGUACCCUGGCUGGUUCGGCGCCGGGAGAGACGCCGAUGCCACCACCGACGCGCUUCCGUUCUCCAAGAUGGACACAACGGACGACAUGAGGGGCCUCCUGCUCGGGUCGUCCUCCACGCACAGGAGGCCGACGUGGAUGCAGAGCAAUGCCUCAUCCUGCGAACAGCUCUCUGCCAUGGAUGGAUCCACCAGCUUGACUGCCUUCCCUUCCCUCCACAGGUGCCAUGCCUACAUGAAACAACCAAACCAACCAUCAGGAAUUGUUUUUUUCUUGCUAUUAUGAAUACAGAUACGAUCACAACAUGGAGUACUCCCUCUGUAAAAAAAUAGAAGAGUGUCUAGAUACUUAGAAACUUCAACGGUUUGGUUUGGCAGUACCAGUGAAAAUGCAGGUGCUUACAUAGACUAUCAAGCUAGGGAACUCCAUGAUGCCCUUGGUUGCGCUUAUCCUAACGCCGCUCACGAUCUCCAGCAGCAGCACGCCGAAGCUGUACACGUCGGACUUAACUGAGAAGACACCCUCCGUCGAGUACUCGGGGGCAAUGUAGCCGCUUGUCAACACAUAAUUUUUUUAGUUAGAAGAGGUGUCACAUGUUUUUUUGUCAAAUGCUACUACCAACCUAAGUAAAAAAAAACUCUUUCCCGCCCUGUAAAUGUAUUCAAGUGUUCAAGAUACUCACUAUGUUCCAACGACGCGCUUGCUGUUGGCUUUGACCUGGUUGUCGCCGAAGAUCUUGGCCAUGCCGAAGUCGGCGAUCUUGGGCCGCAUCUCGGCGUCUAAAAGGACGUUGCUGGCCUUGAGGUCCCUGUGUAUCACCGUCAGCCUCGAGUCCUGGUGGAGGUAGAGCAGCCCCCUCGCUACCAACCUUGAUGAUCCCCAGCCUCGUCGGCCAGUCCAGCACAGAUUUCCUCCCUGCCCUGAAUCCUUGCUCAGUCUCUUCACAGCAACCACAUGACCGCCUUCCAACGUCCCCUUCCCAAUGGUAAAAAGAAAAAAACUGGAGUGACCGAGAUCAUGAAUUGCUUUAGUUUGGCGACUGAAUAUUGUGCAGGAGAUUUCAGGCAUAUCCAAAGUUUUAAAUAACCGGAUAUAGUCAUUGAUGUACUUUGCCGAUCGUGGAUCCGAUCGAUUUUUUUCUCUCGCAUACAUAUAGCUCUGGUCUUAUAUGACUUUGCUAUUUGCUGGUGUGUCCUUGUGUGUGUGUCUGUUGGUGUUGGUUACGUGCAUCUUAGUUAUGCAAAGGUUAUGUAUGCUCUUUGGGUUUGUAUCCUCUUGAUGCAGCCAAUAAAAUCCACCCUUUGUCAAACGCUCCAUGAAGGUUGGUUUCAAAAAGAAAAUCGAAAAUGAUAUUAUUUUUAAUUUUGAAGAAAAACUGACAAAAAAUAGACAUGUACAUAGAUAUUUAUAUACUACGUUCAUGUAAAUUUUCAUAGUGAAACAGAUUUUGGUCUAGGCUAUACAAAACAAUCAUGAAUUUUUACGAUGAUUAGUAAAUGUGUUAGAUAUACAUGAUUUUGUCUUUUUUGUGUAGCUGACAUUAAAACAUAUUUGAUCGUGAAAAUUUAUAGAAAUGUCUGAUACAGUUCUAUGUACAUAUGUUUUUUUUAAGAUUUUUCUGAAACCUGAAUAAUGUAUUUAUAUUAUGUUUAUAAAUUCAGGCUCCAUGGAGCCGGAGAUCUGAAAGGCAUUUCCGACUAUAGCCCCGCUAUUCCGUUGCUAUAGUUAAUUUGGAAGACUGACGAUAUUUAAAAUAUCCCGCUAUUUAAAACUACGUGUAUACCUUAUAGACAUUGCCAAAGCCUCCACGGCCAAUCAUGAAUGUCUUGGAGAAGUUGCCUGUGGCGGUGAUGAUGUUGGCAAACUGUAUGCACGGGAACUCAUGGUCUCCGGUGUGAUCUACUUCUCUGAUUUUCGCUCGAUGUGUUCGUGGUCCCGGUCCCAGGCACCAACUUAUUUUGGCUCUCGGUGAAAUUUCUUCUCUUGUCUGUGAAAUUGAUAAUAAUGAUCGAGUAUGACCAAAAGUGAUGUUAUGAUCCUGAGCCCACAUGCCCCCUAGUGAACAAUAAGAACCGGAAAAAUAGUAGAAGAAAUUAGAAAAAAAAAAACAAAAUCCAUACUCCAAAAUGCUUUGAAAAUAGUCUUUUUCAAUCAUCUAUUUUGUUUUUGUUUUUUGCCUGGACCUCCACGAAUAUCAUUCCAUCACAAAUAUUGGCAUCCAGAUGAAACACUCAACAAUGUUUAUCGCACAAAACAAAUUCUGAAUAUUUUGAAUCUUUUUCAAAAAAAAUUGGAUUUUGCUGUUCACCCACCCAGGAGCAUAUGAGCUUGAGAUCAGAAACUCCAUGUCCGAGCAUGGAUGCUUAGAGAAGGGAAGACCAUAUGACUAUACCUCUGAAUCUACGAAACCAUACGAAGAAAAUGCAUGAGAGCAGCAGGGCAGCUGCCAACACCGGCACUGCUAUCUUCACUGCAUUUCUACCUGCACGUUCAAAUACAGGGCAAAAAUUUGAUGAAAAAACACAUUUUGUGGUCUGAAUUCGGUAAAGAUUCAACAGAAUUUUGAGAAAGUUCGGUGGAAAAAAUGCAUAUGUGUCCGCUGUACCUGUGGAAGCAGCAGCAACCGGCACGCGGAGGUAGAGCGUCUCGCCGGGCGCGCCGAUCAUCUGUGCGUCCACGAGCUCCCCUGCCCACACCAGGCACCGGCCCAGUUCACCCGCGUAUGCGUAGGCCACACACGAGCAGCUGGCUGCGCACCUCGCCGCGCACUCCUCCGCGCUCCGGUUGCCUGCGUCGAGCAUGAACUUGUCCGGCACCGUCAUGCUCGGCAUCGACACAAAACCCUCCCGCUCCUGCUUCCGCCGGCACCCCUGCUCGAACCUGCCGGCGCUCCACUCCGCCGCACUCGCCGGCCGAACCCAUCGAGGCACCUGCACGCCGCCGGCGCCGCCGUGACGUCGCAGUACCCGUACGCGCUGCAGUGCCCAUAGCUGCUGCACCCGCUCGACGGCCACGACUGGAGCGUGUCCCAGGCAGACGUGGUGCCGUUCCAGCUGAGAAGCUGGAGGCUGCCGGAGCUGGUCAGCACGUACCGCGUGGGCGUGAAGGUGAUGGCGAUCUCCUCCUCGGUGGCCACGACCGCCGUGUUGACCGUGCCGGCGCUGAUGUAGCUGCUGGAGACGGCGUGCCCCGUCCAGACGGGAUUGCACCAGUAGGGGCGCGUGCCGUUCCACAUGAGCAGCUGCAGCGACGUGCUGGGGUCCAGGCCGUAGGAGAAGCGCCCCGGCGCCGGGUCGCGUGGAGACCUCCAGGGGACGAGCCAGCCAGCCUUGCCCGUGUGGCUCAGCCGCACCUCCAUCCUCGGCAGGAACGUGUCCGUCGGGUGGUCGAAGCUCUGCCACACCACCGUGCCGUCCGGCAGCUGGAUGAGCAGGUUGCCGUCGCGGCCUGCGAGGACGAUCUGCCCGCGCCGGGCGUGGUCCAGAGCACGCGGCCGUCGGCGUCGGACAGGACGAGGCUGAGUCGUUGGCCAGCGUGAGAGUCGGGGUGCUGAACGUGACAGGUCCAUGGAUGAAAUUCAAGGUGCGUCGAGCGACGAGUUUGAAUCGGUCAAUCGGUCGAGAGCGCUUGCGUCUACAUGGGCCGGCCCACCAGCAAUGACGGGUGUGCGCCCGGUACAUUUGCUGGCGCUCAAGGCUGAACGCGCCGUAUAUGAGCCCCCGGUGCUUCCCUCGCCGGCCGACUUGUGGGUCCGUGGUGGCAGGUGUGCUAACACUACCUCUGGAGUCUGGACCGAUCUCUCUCAAAGUGACUUUCACCGAUCCCAGAAACAGACCAGACUGAAACCAUCACGUUUGAGGUCGUGCGCUGCCUGUUGUGUCAAACCCAGUCUACAGGACGCUGCCAUUGCUUGCGCUAGGCUUUAUCUCUACUCCUAUAAAAAUGGGAGUUGGUGAUGAUGGUGUGUCUGCCUUGGUGCAAUCUAUACCGUUCGAUCUGGAAUCUGAGGCUGCGAUUGAGACUUUGUGCCAUCAUUUGAACAAGAGCACGGAUAGCAUGGAGGUUUCUCUCGCCAAGCAGAUUCUUCGAAAACCCUCUCCACAAUUCCUCGUUGCCGGCCCCUACCCUCUCUUUCCCAGCGUCUUUUCUCGGCGACCGCCGGAGUUGAGUUGGGCGAGGGUUCCGUCUCCUGUAUAGCUGUAUUUGUAGUUAAGGUCUUGAUAAAUCUGAUUUGGGUUGAGCUUUCCCCGGCGUCUCUCCUUCCAGAUCUGGCCGUGCAGACCGUCGGAGAGGGAGACAUGGCGGCGGUUGCUUCCUUGUCCAAGUUCCUCACUCUCCUGUCUUUCUACUCCCCAUGAGAACUAUCACCCCAAAACUGAGAUGAGCCCAUCCCCCGCACGAUCGGGCGCGAUCCUUCGUUUCCUCUAUGCCGCAUCAUCCUACGGGGAAAGAUGGCCGUGUUCGUCCAGGCCAGCGCUCCCGGCCACCCGGCAGGAGGUCUAGGUUGCCUUUGCCGAUGCAUCAAGCUGCGGGCGCUCCGCUGGCGCGGCGUGCCCAAUGCAGGUGUACGCCGGGUAUUCCCGUGUUUAUCCGAUGGUAGCGCAAUCACCGGCACAGCGUGUCGCAUUGUCUUCCUCAACGAUUGCCACGGCGCUGCUGUCGUAUUCGACCUCCUCACUUCGCCGCUGUGAUUCUAUCCGCUGGGAGGUACGUGCACAUUUAUUUCAUCCGCAAUUUUGCAUGCGUAUGAGAUUUGCUUAUUUGAUGAACUUCGGUCCUGCAGUAGUUUAAUCAGCUCAUCUUAGAGAUAUAGGCUAAUUCCUAGCUUAACAAUUUACUCCCUCCGUUCCUACAUAUAAGUCUUUUUAGGGAUUUCACUAUGGACUAGAUACGGAUCAAAAUGCGUGAAUCUAUACUCUAAAAUAUGUCCAUAUACAUCCGUAUGUAUUUUGCAGUGAAAUCUCUAAAAAGACUUACAUUUAGGAACAGAGGGAGUAUAAUUUAUCAGGCCAAUUACCUGAUGGGAGACAACCAGACGGGGAGAACGAUUGCUUGAAGAGCCUCGGGCAGUCUGCUCUCACAAGGAAAUGCAAAGGUAAUUUCACAAGAGAAGUGGUGAUGGCGAGGCUCUGCCACGACAACCUUGUUCGCCUCCUUGCGUACUGCAAUGAAGGCGACGAAUGGAUAUCCACUCAUCUAUGGCUACAUGUUGAACAACAUCAUGGAUCUCUACAUAUUUGGUACAUAUACUUGUAUAUUUUUUUCUUGCCUAUGAUCAGAAUUUGGAUCACAGUAGACAAUCAGGUUCUCUUCUAUGAUUGUUGGUUAUUGUUUUCAUGUAGUCCAAUACAUAAGUACAGCUCAUAGCUGCAUGGUUAGAAUUCAGAGAAAAUGUACAUAAAGUUCCAGAUAAUAGAAUUGCAAACUUGGACAAUACCUUUAGAGGAAAUUUGUAUGCUGGACAUGCUUGACCAUGUCAAAGAUCAUGCAUGAGUAAUUAUAUCCUCGGGUUAUUCGUAUUAUCUGCAAAGUGAGCUUCAAAAUUUUGUAAACUAGCAUUUUCAAUAGUUCAGAGCUACUACUUCACUGUCAGUAUUUAGGUGGAUGGUCUCUGUUUUAAAUUCAUGAUACAAGUAAUGCACUUCGUCAAGUUUUAUUUAUCUGUGUCCUUGGUUCCAAUAGCUAUAUAAUUUCUUCGCAAGCACCCAAGUACGGCAACUCUAUUGCCGUUCAUGCUUGGCCUAUGCCCUACAGAGAGGAAUUAGUAUUUGCCUCUUUGUGUCAGAAUGUAGUUGUGUCGCAUGCCUCUUGUAUCAUUUUCAUCGUUGAUAGAUGCAUUACCAAAAUAUCAUUGCAAAAUUUCGUGGUUGCAGUAUUUGUCUUGUUAAUUUUGCAUUCCUCCCUUUUCUCAUAAAGUGUUAAUUCUGUGUUAGUUAUAUCUUAUGUUUUCUAUGUUCAUUGCUUCUGUUGACUUCAGAUUGUGCAUAUGUGGAGAAGCAUGUAUGAUUGCCCUCAGGUUUAGAACAUAUUGCAUAACAAGCCAUUCUCCUUGGCAGCCGACCUAGAAGUGAGGUCACAAUUGACACCCCUUGUCGUCCAACUUCCGGCACUUGAAGUCUCUGUGCGACAAAAUUAUGCUUGCCAUCUGAUCACCUUGCCGCAUGGUAUGUUCAUGGGACAGAGAAUAUGAGAUGCAGCUCCCCAAUGUUUUCACUUCUCCACUCAAAAUUUUCAGGCCACAACCUGAAUAUUUGUUUCCUUGUUGUCUGUCAUCAGCAUUUUUCUUUGCAGAAACCUGGUUAAGGAAGUUACCAGUAGUCCAGUACUAAUAUUUUCGUAUGUAUGUACUUGUGCACUCACCCCUUUUAUAUACAUAUAUGGUUCAAAAAGCAUCUUUUACUUUAUUUUUUGUUUAUUUGCUCAGUACAAAAUGUAGUGCAGUCUAUGAUUUUUUUCCUUGGUCUAAAUAUACCACAGACCCUCUACAGGCUCCUUAUUUUUUUUCCAUUGUCUAAAUAUACUACAGACCGUUUAUAUAUAUGCAGUACUGAUUGCCUAAUGUCCUUCUAGGUGAGAAGAUAGAUUAAGUUGGAGUUCGAGAGCUAAUAUUGUUGGCACAAAUGUUUUGAGCAAACAACUAAAAGAAGGGUAUACUAUGCUUUGCAGAUGGAAAAUGAUUCCACGGCCUCAUAUAUGCCUAUGGUAUAUGUAACUAAGCAUGAAUCAAUUUUUUUUCUCUUCAUGGUGCUAUUGCAUGCAGCAUGCUUGUGCAUAUUUAUCAAAGUAUUCAGUUGAACACUUCUACUUCAUUCUUGUUUGUUCUUGAAAGUGUGCUCAAGCAACAGUAAGUAUGUUAUUUGGAUAUAUUAAUUGUGUGGGCUGGAGGUGGAGCCUGUGUUAACCAAAAGCAGAUUGGUAUUGUAACACUUCCCAAAUGUGUGUGGAUGGAUUUUCUAUUUGUCACAUGCUCUGUCCCCUCAAUUUAGAGAGUAAUGAGAAAGCUGGUUGGAGAGAACAACAAAUCUUCGCCAAGGUAAAAAUGGAGAAGAAAAUAUUUGGCUUGGACAAGGGGGUCAUCGAUCAGAAACCAUAAGUUUGAUUUUUGCUCAAUGCGUACACAUCAACAAUAUAGCAUUACUGUGAUCAAUGUUAUGAUACAUCUUUUUUGUCCACUAUGCUCCUAAGUAAACAAUGUCUACUUGAUUAUUUGUGAUUCCGUAGCGUAGCACUAGCACGGGCAUCUUACUAGUCUGAUAAAAAGACUGAGGUGGAGAAGUAGCUGAGUAGUAUUAGACUUUAUCUAGUCCAAAAGGCUGAGCUGAACUAGUACUACAGUUGGUGUAGUGAAGCUGGCAAGCAUCCCUAUAAAAGGGCAUAUGCAUCCAUCGUUGUAAAUCAUUCCACUCCGAUCAAUUCAACUAGUACUCCUUUCUCAAGUGCAGCUCCAUCCGUGUAUGUUCGCUAGUGUGUGUGCGUACUUGCUAGUGUGCGCAGCGCAAGCAAGUAGUACCAGCACUUAGCUCUUCCACCGGUCAUUCAUCAGGAUAUUAGCUAGCCAGUAGUUUUUGCGCUAACACUGCCAAGGCAUCUCUGUUCUUCAGCUUAACUACUUGUUUCUCUGAACCUCUGAAUGUGUAAUGCAUAACUUCUCUGAAUAAUUUUCAGCGUAAACAUGGUAAAUAUUUCAAUUUCAGCAAGACAUUCAUACCAUCCAUUUCAAGGCUGAUCAACUGAACACUCCUUUAUAUACGUCUUUCAUUUAUAUCUCUAACAAAUGCUCUACAAGUCUGGAGUUUCCCCCAGUAAAAAAACAAAAACUGGAACACUAGGACUAGUGCAGCUUCCAUGUGAAGAAUGUUGCAGUUACUACUGUAUAUACCAUACUACCUGCCUUGCAGAACUGUCAUGGCCAUGGUGUUCCUGGUGUUCUCGAGAUCGCUUCUCUCGAUCUUCUGUCCCAUCAUUUCGAAAAAACCAGGCUGCACUGGCGUUGGGAGGGAUAGUGACACCGUCGACGAUGCACUUCCGUUCUCUAAGAUGGACACGACGGAGGACAUGAGUGGCCUCCUGCUCGGGUCGUCCUCGACGCAGAGGAGCCCGACGUGGAUGCACAGCAAAGCCUCAUCCUGUGAACAGCUCCCUGCCAUGGAUGGAUCCACCAGCUUACCUGCCUUCCCUUCCCUCCACAGGCUCCAUGCCUACAUGAAAAAAAGUAUCAUAUCAACCAUUUGUGUGUUUUGUGUAUGUGUGUUUGAAGAUGAAUAUGAAUUUAGGCAUGACAUGGACUGAACUGAAAAAGGAAGGAAGGUAACUGCAAAAAUUGGCGUGGCAAUGCCAUUUUUAGUUCAGGGUCGUACAUAGACUGUCAGGCUGGGAAACUCCAUGAUGCCCUCGGUUGUGCUUAUCCUGACGCCGCUCAUCAUCUCCAGCAGCAGCACACCAAAGCUGUACACGUCGGACUUGACAGAGAAGACUCCCUCCGCCGAGUACUCGGGAGCAAUGUAGCCACUGUCCACAAGUUUUUUGUGUUGUCAGAAGAGACGCCGAAUUUUCGGUGAAAUGCUAGCUUGGUACCAACUUUAAAAAUAUGCUUUUAUUUCUGAAAAUCCAGUUAAGUGUUGAGGUUACUCACUAUGUCCCGACAACGCGCUUGGUGUUGGCUUUGACUUGGUUGUCAGCGAAGAUCUUGGCCAUGCCAAAGUCGGCGAUCUUGGGCCGCAUCUCGGCGUCCAGCAGCACGUUGCUGGCCUUGAGGUCCCGAUGUAUCACCGUCAGCCUCGAGUCCUGGUGGAGGUAGAGCAGCCCCCUGGCCACACCCUUGAUGAUCCCCAGCCUAGUAGGCCAAUCCAAGGCUGAUUUCCUCGCACUGUCUGCAACAAAUGCCAUACACAACUUCAGGAACCAUGUAAAUAGUUUCAUUAACUUGCUUGUGUAAAAACUUGAUGAGCGGCUUCUGUCAAGAGUUUCAUUAACGUGGACAUCUGAACAUUAUAUGUACCAAAGAGAAUGGCGUUGAGGCCCUUGUUGGGCAGGUACUCAUAGAUGAGAAGUUUCUCGGCCUCCUCGGUGCAGCAGCCGAGGAGGCGGACCAGGUUCCGGUGCUGCAACUUGGCGAUCAGAAUGGCCUCGUUCUUGAACUCCUCUGCUCCCUGGUCCGAGUCCUUGCUCAGCCUCUUCACAGCGACCACCUGACCGCCGUAUAGUGUUCCCUUCCCAAUGGUAAACAGAAGCAAGUGGACCGAGUGAGAUCAUGAGUUGCUUUAGUUUGGCGACUGAAUUUUGUGCAGGAGAUUUUAGGUGACUAAAUUUAGUACCUUGUAGACUUUGCCGAAGCCUCCGCGUCCGAUCAUGAGUGUUUCCGAGAAGUUGCCGGUGGCCGCGACGAUGUCGGUGAGCCGUAUAGAGGGGAACUCAAGGUCUACCGUGUGAUCUCCUUCGAUUUCGCUCCAUGUGUUUGUGGUUCCCGUCCCGGGCAUUAGCUUCUUCUGGCUCACGGUUUUCUUUCUCCUAUCUAUGCAAGAUGUUGUGAGCAACUUUUUCUAAGAAUGAUUGAGCAUUUGAGCAUGUCACGUUUAGCGGUAAGAGGAAAUUACUGUACCUCUGAAUCUCCACAACCAUACAAAGAAAAUGCAUGUGAGCAAUAGGACAGAUGCUGGCACCGGCAGUGCUAUUUUCACUACAUUUCUGCUGGACUUUCCACCUCUGUUCGGCAGGGCUAACACCGGCACUGGCAAAUUGGUUCGGUUUGAUUAAACAGACGAAGUUCGGCAAAAAAAUAAAAAAAAAUUAUGUUUCUGCUGUACCACCUGUGGAGGCAGCAGCAACGGGCACGCGGAGGUAGAGCGUCUCGCCGCCCCAGCCGAUCAUCUGCGCGUCGACGAGCUCCCCUGCCCACACGAUGCACCGGCUCACGUCCCCCAUGGCGCUGCUGCUCUGCAGGUUGGCGUACGCCAUGCACGAGCAGUUGGCGGCGCACCUCGCCGCGCACUCCUCCGCGCUCCGGUUGCCGGAGUCGAGCGAGAACUUGUCCGGCACGUUCAUCGUAGGCAUCGCUAUGAAACCCACUCCUAUGCUGCCGCGUCCGCACGGCGGCAGCGCCUCCUUCCGCCGGCACCCUUGCUCGAAACUGAAAGCUGUCCACUCCGCCGGACUCGCCGGCUCGAAGCCAUCGAGGCACCUGCACGCCGCGGGAGCCACCGUAACGUCGCAGUACCCGUACGCACCGCAGUCCCUGUACGUGCUGCACCCGCUCGUCGGCCACGACUGGAGCAUGUCCCAGGUCGACGCGGCGCCGUCCAAGCUGAGGAGCUGGAACCUGCCGGAGCUGGUCACCACGUACCGUGUAGGCGCCGCGCCACUGGAAACGGUGAUGGCCACGGAGAUCUCCUCCUCGGUCAGGACGAUCGCCGUGUAGAGUAUCGUGCCGGCGCUGACGUACAUGCUGGUCACGGCGUGCCCCGUCCAGACGGGCGUGCGCCAGUAGGGGCGCGUCCCGUUCCACAUGAGCAGCUGCAGCGACGUGCGGGGGUCCAGGCCGUAGGAAAAGCGCCCCGGCGCCGGGUCGCCGGAGGAUUUCCAGGACACGAUGCGGUCGCCCUUUCCCGUCCGGCGGCUCAGCCGCAUCUUCAUCCCCGGAAUGAACGUAUCCGUCGGGUGGUCGAAGCUCUGCCACAACGCGGGGCCGUUCGCUCGCUGGACGACCAGGUCGCCCUCGUUCGUCAGCACGGCCGCUGCCGGCGCCUGUGGUGAUGAACUGACCGCGACGGUCGUGUUCCAGAGCACGCGGCCGUCGGCGUCGGACAUGACGAGGCGGGAGUCGUUGGCCAGCGCGAGCGUCGGGGCGCUGGCGGCCGGGGCGCCCCGGUUGGCCACCCAGACGACGGUGCGAGGCCCGGGGAUGCCGUUGUACCAUAUGCCAAGAUACCGUCUCGCCGGGCCAGCGGCGUCGUCUGGGGAGAAGAAGCCGAGAGCGAAGGCGCCGCCGUCGGACACGAGGGACUGUCCGGCCAGGAGCUUCUCCCCCACGGCCAGCUGGUCCUUGGCGGACGCGCACAGGAGGAAGAAGGCGACGACGAGGACGAGGACGGCAGAACGUGACCGGUCCAUCGAUCAACUUCAAGGUGCGUGCAACGAGAUCAUCAGGAGACUUGAUUUUCUACUCCCGGGGCACCUACACAAAGCUAGCUAUUUACUCACUCCGUCUCAUAAUAUAAGAGUCAGAAUAUAAGAGCGUGCAGUGUAAAAAAACACUCUUAUAUUAGAGCAUCUUCAACAAACGCGCGAUAGCAUGGCGCGUUAAAAAAGUUUCGCAGCGCUGAAAUAGUGUUUUUGCGCGUGACAGGUUUACCAGACGCACGAGAACACACGAGCACAAGCCGGCGCCUCAAAUUUGCAGCCCCAUAGCCAUCAUGCGCUAAAUUUACGGCUCCGUUUUUGUGUGUGCUCUAUUUUACAACUUAUGUUGAAGCAUCGUUGUUUGUCGCGGGCAUAUUUUCCAGCGCGCGGCUUGUAUAGCGCGAGAUGCUCUUAUAAGACAGAGAAAGUAGCUACGGCCUUGACGUUUCUCUUGGCGGUACGAACGUGAUCAUUCUUGUCCGAAAGGCGAUGUCGCCAUUGUAGCUAACCCGACGGUCACAGGCGGAGCUCCCGGUAGGGCGAGGCAGGGCGCCCGCCCUACCUUGAUUUUGUGCAGAAAGAUUAGUACAUGUAGUCAUACGCUGUCGCUGGCCGGUUCUAUGUGCGUGGAGUCACGUUCGCUAGAAAAAAGAAGACUUGCUGCUGCUGCUGUGCAUCCUUCGCUAAGCGGGAACUAAGAAAGCAAUCAAGCCCAUCCCAGUUGAUCAAGCCGCACGCACCAGUUUCCCUCAAAAAAGAAAAAGGUGCACGCACCAGUACAUGCUAUCUCUCUCUCUCUCUAAAAAAAAAAGUACACCAUGCCAUCACACGGAGAGCUAUAAAUUUCUAUAAUUUCAGCCUAAAAAAAAUAUAAAUUUCUACAUUUUCAUGUUGUGAAUUUAUGAUGUAAAUUUUCAUAGUAGCUUCACAAUCUAGAUGGCAUUAAAGCUUCAUUAUCCAUUUGUUUUCAGGUCUACUUAAAUAUGCUUGCAUUCCCAUUGUAUUUGAAUUAGUUUAAAAUCAUGUAAAAUUAUCAGAGCAUAUUAUUAUUGUGUAUAUGCUAUUUGAUAUUUCAUCAAAUUAUAUAUCACUCCCUCCGUCCCAUAAUAUAAGAGCGUUUUUGACACUACACUGGUGUAAAAAACAUUCUUAUAUCAUGUGAUGGAGGGAGUGGUCAGUGUUCGCCCCACCUUAAACUUUUUUCGUCCUCCGCCACUGCCGACGGUGACGCUACUUUGCGAGUUCAUAUUGACUAAUUUCAGCAUGCACCCAGGUGAACUAGUCUUAGUCUGGUCUACUAUGUGUGCGCGUUUUACCUACGCGCUAGUGCAUAACUCGACCUACCUUGCCCAACAACGGCAGUUUUUUUUAACACAUUACAAUCACAAUUGCUCACGAAUAUGCACAUUGCAUCCUAUCCGCAGAGAUUUUUUUUUCUGCAGUGGAAUCAGAAAGAUGUAUUCGACCAAACGUAUUAUCUCGACAGUCAGCCAAGAAGCCACUGAACAUAAAGCUAAACAAAAUGAGAUCCAUGGGCACUAAUACCCAUGACAUACUCGUUAUAGAAUAAGCCCACCCAGGUGAGAUGAGAUCGCGGAAAUUCGCCCCCACGGGCGACGGGAGUGGAACCUGCAAGGUAGCACCAAUGUGCCCUCGCCACUGAACAGAAAUCUAGAAGGUUCGAUCAGCCAACUCUCGGUCACAUUCAAUUAUGCCAUUAAUAAAUAAGAUAAUUAAUAAAUAAUGAUGAGUUGGAACUGGACCGCGACAAGUUUACACCCACACUGUAAUUAAUAAAUAAGAUAAUACCCCGCGCGUUUUCGUGGGAAUUGGUCGAUAAAUUUUUGGGUUGACAAUAUGAGGAUGAAAAUUAAAAAUACAUAUGACUUAAUAUAUUUCGUCAUGUAUACUUGUAAAAUAUUUAUUGAAUAUAUGUACAAUAAUUGAACAGAAAACAUUUCCCCUUCGUUGGUUUAAUGUUGUGUUGUGGUGGAUCUUUUCACAUGCAUAGUUUUCCAUACAUUUUUUCUAAAAUAUAGCAUACAUUUUUCUGAAUGUAUGAUUUUUUUUAAAUUAGGCAAAUAUUUUUUAGCAUUGUAUAAACAGUUUUCUUAGAUGUCACGUAUAUUAUUUUUAAAUGCAUGACCUUUUUUUUAAUGUCAAAAUAAUAAUUCAUACGGAUGAUCAACAUUCUUUAUACACGUUUAACAUCUUUAAAUUCAUGAUUAACAUUUUUUUAAUUUUACAUAAAGUGUUUUUGGUAUUAUAUAUUUACACUAUUUCAAAAUAUAAGGCAAAAACAAAAAUAUAAAUGUGAAGAAAAAACUUGGGUGGCGGCAACAUGACACGACCAUGUGGUUACUGGGCCGGCCCAACAAUGGCUUCAGCAUGGGACCUUGUGCUAGAGUCGCUACAAUACCUCAUGGUCUUUUUUUUUUUGAGAAAAGGCCAUCAUGGCUAGCUUUAUUACGAUUAAAUAGUAGAUACAUCGUCUACGAGCUUGCUGACCAAAACACAGGUGGCUCGUGCAACCAAAAAGAAGAGAUCUUAUUACAAUAACUAUGAUUCGCUAGCACAUGAGCUGCUUGAUUAGCAGACCGAUAACAAUGUUUAUAGACGACCUUUCCUAUAGCCGUAGCCAUAUCCACACACUCCGCAAAGAUUGCCGUAGCUGCAUCCCGCCAUCUGGAUUGUCCGGUACAAAAGUUGAUCACCUGCAUAGAAUCAGACUCCAGCUCAAGGCGACUGUAUCCGAGAGAAUUAGCUAGCUCAAGUCCAUCUUUCAUGGCCAUCACGUCGGUUGUGACUACGUCAGCUGCAAAAGGGACAAACCUGCAUUUGGCAGCAAUAAAAUUACCAUAUGCAUCUCUUAGAAUAGCUGAGAUCGCUCCCAUUCCCUCUUCCUCAUAGAACGCUGCGUCCACAUUUACUUUCACAAAAUUUGAAUCAGGUUUACUCCAUUUUCUGUCUUGUGUUCCACUUGGCUUAGAGAAGGCUUUGUGAUAAUUGCUUGCAAUCGCUAACACUGAUAUGGGCCAACAGAUAAUCAGAGGGACUGUCUCAUUAUGCGUAAUGCGUCGCCUAAUCCACCAUAAAUACCAGCAAGCCACUGCCACAACCUGCUUAAAA